CAGUGUGACGGGCAGACUGGCAUACACGCAGCUGCCCUGAGAGGUGACGUGUGUACUGCAACACAACCGAGUGCCAUGGCAGCAUAAAAGAGAAGGUGGGGUGACAUCUGGGCUGGGCCUGGAAGGAGAAGUUGAACUAUGGAAGUGCAGAGAUUGGUCUGCCUUGCUCACUAGAGUAUUCCAUGGCCUAGCCUGGUGUCUAAACAUGAUAUUAAUCUCAGAACCAUUGUUCAAGUCAAUUUUGGAGGCUCCAAUUCAAUAUUUGGAGGAAAAGUCAGUGGUUACAACACCUUGAAAUUUGGACCAAUUUUUAUCUCCCUUAUGCUUACUCUCCACCAACCUGAAGUGGAUACCCCUGCCAAGCAUAGAUACUGAGGGAAUAUAGUCACAGAUCACUGAUGGAUCUUUCAAUUCUACAAUACACUAUGGAUUUAUUUUAUAAAUUCUAAUUCUGUGGUGAACUUCUCCAAUGUGUCAUCUACUUUCUUGA